rnacentral:rRNA from 1 species
AGAGCGAACGCUGGCGGCAGGCCUAACACAUGCAAGUCGAACGAUAAGCCACCUUCGGGUGGUGGACAGUGGCAGACGGGUGAGUAACGCGUGGGAACGUGCCUUUCGGUUCGGAAUAACCCAGGGAAACUUGGGCUAAUACCGGAUACGCCCUUCGGGGGAAAGAUUCAUUGCCGAAAGAUCGGCCCGCGUCGGAUUAGCUAGUUGGUGGGGUAAUGGCUCACCAAGGCGACGAUCCGUAGCUGGUCUGAGAGGAUGACCAGCCACACUGGGACUGAGACACGGCCCAGACUCCUACGGGAGGCAGCAGUGGGGAAUAUGGACAAUGGGCGCAAGCCUGAUCCAGCCAUGCCGCGUGGGUGAAGAAGGCCUUAGGGUUGUAAACCCCUUUCAGCGGGGAAGAUAAUGACGGUACCGCAGAAGAAGUCCCGGCUAACUCCGUGCCAGCAGCCGC